rnacentral:rRNA from 1 species
UGGGGAAUUUUGCACAAUGGGGGAAACCCUGAUGCAGCGACGCCGCGUGAUUUAGAAGGCCUUCGGGUUGUAAAAAUCUUUUCUAUGGGAAGAAAAUGACAGUACCAUAGGAAUAAGGACCGGCUAACUACGUGCCAGCAGCCGCGGUAAUACGUAAGGUCCGAGCGUUGUCCGGAAUCAUUGGGCGUAAAGGGUACGUAGGCGGGUAAGCAAGUUAGAAGUGAAAUCCUGUAGCUCAACUACAGUAAGCUUUUAAAACUGCUCAUCUUGAUAUAUGGAAGGGAAAGUGGAAUUCCUAGUGUAGCGGUGAAAUGCGCAGAUAUUAGGAGAAAUACCGGUGGCGAAGGCGACUUUCUGGCCAUAAUCUGACGCUGAGGUACGAAAGCGUGGGUAGCAAACAGG